rnacentral:lncRNA from 1 species
GUAAGAUAUUAAAAAUAUUUUCUUUAUUUUUUAGAUUUUUUAAAAAAUGUAUUAUUUGUGUGAAAAGUAUCAUCAACCUAUUACAGUAAACUAUAUAGCUGAUUAUGUUAGUUGGGUACCUAGGCUAACUUUGUUGGACUUACAAAUAAACUGGAGAUACAAAUGUACUCUCAGAAAAGAACUUGUUCAUAGGUAGGAGACUUACUAUACUAAUUUCCACAUUUGUUUGUGGGUAGGCUUAAGGUUUUGAGGGGAAACUGACAUUUGAUCCUUUUAUUUUUUCAGUUGAAAACAUAAACACAGAAAUGAGAAUCUGCUCAGUUUUGACUCUGUCCUGCACAGAACAGAGACUGGAAAACUAUGAAUCAAUAUUUUUGAUUGUGUUUAUUUUCCUCCAAAGAAUUGAUGCUUUUGAAUUGUGGUGUUGGAGAAGACCCUUGAGAAUCCUUUGGAUUGAAGGGAGACCAAACUAGUCAAUUCUAAAGGAAAUCAACCAUGAAUAUUUACUGGAAAGAUUGAUGUUUAAGCUGAAGCUUCAAUACUUUUGCCACGUGGUGUGAAGAGCCAACUCAUUGGAAAAGACUCUGAUGUUGGGGAAGAUUGAAGGCAAAAGGAGAAGAGGUAGCAGAGAAUGAGGUGGUUAGAUAGCAUCACUGACUCAAUGGACAUGAAUUUGAGUAAGCUCCAGGAGACAGUGAAGACGCAGGAGUCUGAUGUGCUGCAGUCCACGGGGUUGCAGAGUCAGAUAUGACUUAGUGACUGAACAACAACAACAAAAUUUACCUCCACACUGUAGGAUAAUAUGUAUUAUUUUUCUUUUGGCUUACCUGUGUUUUCUGAAUAUUUAACAACAAACGUUAUUUUUGAAAUUAAACAAUGUGAAAUAAUUGUAUCAUUUUUCUCACAAGUAGUUAUAUAAAACCCCUUUUUGCCUCCUUCUGGUCCUUGACUUUGAAUUGUUUCAUUUUGAAGAGGGGAAUAGUAGAGAAUUUAUGUCUAGGGUCCUUAGAAUAAGGUUUUCUCUCUGCAGUUCAUAAUGGAUUUGGUUGGGUGCCCAAUAUAAACUUCACUCUGCGACCCACCUUCUUCUCUGUCCUAGUUCUUGUGUGAAGACAUAAAAAUGUGACUCCAGGGUUAUUUUACAUUUCAGUCAAAAGAAAUUGUUUCAGAGGAAAUGUCUAGAGUGCUCGUGUAUCUGUCUUAUUUAAUAACUCUCUUUCCCUUAAUUGAGAAAAGAAAAAGCAAAAACAAAAAAUAAGUAGAGCUGUAUUGGUUUAGAAGAUACUUUUAGAGAUCCCUGUCUCCAACUGUGCUUGUUCCCGCUGUCUGCUAUGGUCCAUUAGAUAAACAUGGUGCUCUGCAGCCAGGCGGUUGUUGAUAUAUUUGGCAACACUGAUAAUGUGAUCUAUGUGUAGGAGGAAGUGGAUGCGUCAUUCCUUGGGGGCAAAGGUUUUCUGAAAGUGAUUGUUUCAUUCUCAAGGAAAAUUCAGUUAGGUCAUUGCGCCUUAAGUUCUUGCUGAGAGUUUGAGCACUUUUAAUUUGCCAUUUGUACUUUUUUCUAUUACUUUUAUUGAAAUCUCAGAUUAAUCUUUAGGCUUAUUUUCAGAGGCAGUGGGUACUAACUGAAAGGAAAGGCAAACCUGGUUGUUUCUGACUCUGGAAUGUUAGUGUAAUAAGGAAAAUGGCGGGGCUUGUCAUCUUAUGUCUGCUUAAUAUACAUCAGUCACAAUUUUUAGUAUUUUCAUAUGUGAUCUUCAAGUUUAAAAAUAUGCAUACCGAAGAAC